CACAUUUAAUUUUUUCUGUUACAGGUUUCUGAACUUUGACGUUACCUGUUAUCCUUAUGUUGUGCCAUCUUUGUCUCCAUACUUGAAGGUCCAGCUUGUAAAAAACAGCCUUGGGGAGAAAACUACUGGCCUGACGAUGCUUUGCUGGCUAAACCCAAAGUGCCCGAGUCCUGCCUGACGUGUGUGAAGGACAGCUACACUGACAUCCUCAUCGGUUCAUGAGGUGUCUCUGCCUGGUUCCACGUGCUCAAGGUGAUCAAAUGCUACAAGUGCACCAUCCCACAUGGCCAGGUGAUCUUCAUCUCAACAGCUGGGCCUGGGUGGCCCCAGGGACCCCAGGACCUGGGUCUCCUGCCUCACAGCCUGCUGCUGCUCCUGGGAAGUGAAGCCAGCAGGAGGGAGCUGUGUGGAGGAGGGCGAGGUGGGGCCACCCCCAAGGGCAAACCCGGAGAGCCCCCUGAUGGCGAUGGGAACUGCACCCUGAGCCGCUGGCAGGGCCGGGCCACCCCUGAAGGGAGAAAGUGAGUGUUUGCUUACUCUGAACUUUGCAGUAAGGGAUAGUUCAAGUAUAGACAAAAGGAGGAAGUAUGCUAUAAGCCUUUGCCACUUCCCUAGCCCAGAUUAUGUUGAAGUCAAUUCUAGACAGAUUGUUUCAUCCAUAAAUAUUUCAGUUUCUAUCUCUAAAAUAUUUUUGUAAGUAACACGAUUAAAAUACAGGCAUCAUCCCUUUAAAAAGUAACAAUUAAUAAUCCUUUCGUAUCAUCAAGUAUCCAGUCGAUGUUCAGAUUUUCUAAACGUCAUAUGUAUAUUUUUUGUGUGUUUUAAAUUAGGAUGAAAAUGAGGCUCUUGCUUUUGGAUUGAUUUAUAUGCCCCAGAUGGGUUCAUAAUACCCAGACUCUCCCCCUCCUCUCUGUCCCUCCCUCCCUGCUUCCCGCCUUUCC